CCCAGCACUGAGUUCGGCGAAACGCCGAACCGUGCUGGGCUACUCUCAUCCGUCCCUUCGGGACU
rnacentral:sRNA from 1 species